UUUGUUCCAUUUUUUUCUUAUGCAUGUUUGCAAAAAACUAUACAUCCAUCGCUAUCUAGGAGAAAAGCUUUUUUCUCUGUACACCUAAGUUCCUAUACACGAAAAAACUUUUUUCUCUAUAUACACACACAUUGAAAAACUCCUUCUCUCUAUACCGACAUGCUCUAUAUAAAAUCUCUAUUCCUUUUCAAAGAUUUAUUUUCC
rnacentral:lncRNA from 1 species